rnacentral:rRNA from 1 species
AAACCAGCACCUCAAGUGGUCAGGAGGAUUAUUGGGCCUAAAGCAUCCGUAGCCUGCUGUAUAAGUUUUCGGUUAAAUCCAUGUGCUCAACACAUGGGCUGCCGGGAAUACUGUACAGCUAGGGAGUGGGAGAGGUAGACGGUACUGGUAGGAAGUGGUAAAAUGCUUUGAUCUAUCGAUGACCACCUGUGGCGAAGGCGGUCUACCAGAACACGUUCGACGGUGAGGGAUGAAAGCUGGGGGAGCAAACCGGAUUAGAAACCCUGGUAGUCC